rnacentral:rRNA from 1 species
CUUGCUCUGUGGGAUCAGUGGCGAACGGGUGAGUAACACGUGAGCAACCUGCCCCUGACUCUGGGAUAAGCGCUGGAAACGGCGUCUAAUACUGGAUAUGUGACGUGACCGCAUGGUCUGCGUUUGGAAAGAUUUCUCGGUUAGGGAUAGGCUCGCGGCCUAUUCAGCUUGUAGGUGAGGUAAUGGCUCACCAAGGCGUCGACGGGUAGCCGGCCUGAGAAGGGUGACCGGCCACACUGGAACUGAGACACGGCCCAGACUCCUACGGGAGGCAGCAGUGGGGAAUAUUGCACAAUGGGCGGAAGCCUGAUGCAGCAACGCCGCGUGAGGGAUGACGGCCUUCGGGUUGUAAACCUCUUUUAGCAGGGAAGAAGCGAAAGUGACGGUACCUGCAGAAAAAGCGCCGGGCUAACUACGUGCCAGCAGCCGCGGUAAUACGUAGGGCGCAAGCGUUAUCCGGGAAUUAUUGGGCGUAAAGAGCUCGUAGGCGGUUUGUCGCGUCUGCUGUGAAAUCCCGAGGCUCAACCUCGGGCCUGCAGUGGGUACGGGCAGACUAGAGUGCGGUAGGGGAGAUUGGAAUUCCUGGUGUAGCGGUGGAAUGCGCAGAUAUCAGGAGGAACACCGAUGGCGAAGGCAGAUCUCUGGGCCGUAACUGACGCUGAGGAGCGAAAGGGUGGGGAGCAAACAGGCUUAGAUACCCUGGUAGUCCACCCCGUAAACGUUGGGAACUAGUUGUGGGGUCCAUUCCACGGAUUCCGUGACGCAGCUAACGCAUUAAGUUCCCCGCCUGGGGAGUACGGCCGCAAGGCUAAAACUCAAAGGAAUUGACGGGGACCCGCACAAGCGGCGGAGCAUGCGGAUUAAUUCGAUGCAACGCGAAGAACCUUACCAAGGCUUGACAUAUACGAGAACGGGCCAGAAAUGGUCAACUCUUUGGACACUCGUAAACAGGUGGUGCAUGGUUGUCGUCAGCUCGUGUCGUGAGAUGUUGGGUUAAGUCCCGCAACGAGCGCAACCCUCGUUCUAUGUUGCCAGCACGUAAUGGUGGGAACUCAUGGGAUACUGCCGGGGUCAACUCGGAGGAAGGUGGGGAUGACGUCAAAUCAUCAUGCCCCUUAUGUUCUUGGGCUUCACGCAUGCCUAACAAUGGCCGGUACAAAGGGCUUGCAAUACCGUGAAGGGUGGAAGCGGAAUCCCUAAAAAAGCCCCGGUCCCAGUUCGGAUUGAGGUCUGCAACUCGACCUCAUGAAGUCGGAGUCGCUAGUAAUCGCAGAUCAGCAACGCUGCGGUGAAUACGUUCCCGGGUCUUGUACACACCGCCCGUCAAGUCAUGAAAGUCGGUAACACCUGAAGCCG